GGUCAGGUCGAGUAGACCAAGGCGCUUGAGAGAACUCUGCUGAAGGAACUAGGCAAAAUGGUACCGUAACUUCGGGAGAAGGUACGCUGUUGUUGGUGAUGGAACUCGCUUCCUGAGCUGACGACAGCCGCAGAAACCAGGCCGCUGCAACUGUUUAUUAAAAACAUAGCACUCUGCAAACACGAAAGUGGACGUAUAGGGGGUGAUGCCUGCCCGGUGCUGGAAGGUUAAUUGAUGGGGUUAGCGUAAGCGAAGCUCUUGAUCGAAGCCC
rnacentral:rRNA from 1 species